rnacentral:rRNA from 1 species
GGCGAACGUUUGCGGCGGGCUUAACACAUGCAAGUCGAACGGGCUGUUCCUUCGGGGGCAGUCAGUGGCGCACGGGUGCGUAACACGUAGGUAAUCAACCCUCUGGUUGGGGAUAACACUUCGAAAGGAGUGCUAAUACCCGGUAUGGCGCAGCGGUCUUCGGAUCGCGGCGAGAAAGACCCGCAAGGGUUGCCAGAGGACGAGCCUGCGGCCCAUCAGCUAGUUGGCGAGGUAACGGCUCACCAAGGCGAAGAACGGGUAGGCUGGUCUGAGAGGAUGAUCAGCCACACUGGAACUGAGACACGGUCCAGACUCCUACGGGAGGCAGCAGU